GACGAACGCUGGCGGCGUGCUUAACACAUGCAAGUCGAACGGAAAGGCCCUGCUUUUGUGGGGUGCUCGAGUGGCGAACGGGUGAGUAACACGUGAGUAACCUGCCCUUGACUUUGGGAUAACUUCAGGAAACUGGGGCUAAUACCGGAUAGGAGCUCCUGCUGCAUGGUGGGGGUUGGAAAGUUUCGGCGGUUGGGGAUGGACUCGCGGCUUAUCAGCUUGUUGGUGGGGUAGUGGCUUACCAAGGCUUUGACGGGUAGCCGGCCUGAGAGGGUGACCGGCCACAUUGGGACUGAGAUACGGACCAGACUCCUACGGGAGGCAGCAGUGGGGAACAUUGCACAAUGGGCGGAAGCCUGAUGCAGCAACGCCGCGUGCGGGAUGACGGCCUUCGGGUUGUAAACCGCUUUCGCCUGUGACGAAGCGUGAGUGACGGUAAUGGGCAAAGAAGCACCGGCUAACUACGUG
rnacentral:rRNA from 1 species